rnacentral:rRNA from 1 species
AUUGAACGCUGGCGGCAGGCCUAACACAUGCAAGUCGAACGGAGCGGCGGACGGGUGAGUAAUGCCUAGGAAUCUGCCUGGUAGUGGGGGAUAACGUCCGGAAACGGGCGCUAAUACCGCAUAAUAUCAGAUGAGACUAGGUCGGAUUAGCUAGUUGGUGGGGUAAAGGCCCACCAAGGCGACGAUCCGUAACUGGUCUGAGAGGAGGAUCAGUCACACUGUAACUGAGACACGGUACAGACGCAGACGGGAGGCAGCAUGGGGGAAUAUUGGACAAUGGGCGAAAGCCUGAUCCAGCAAUGCCGCGUGUGUGAAGAAGGUCUUCGGAUUGUAAAGCCCUUUAAGUUGGGAGGCGUUACCAACAGAAUAAGCACCGGCUAACUUCGUGCCAGCAGCCGCGGUAAUUC